UUGCCGUUUGCAAACAGUCAAAUUACCUUCAAGUGCAAGGAGUUAAUUUUUAUGUGUACCUCGAAAAUUAGUUUUAGAACGCAAACCUUGCUGUACAAGACAGGAUAUUGUUUGCUAAGGGUUGAUAGUUUCUGAGGAAUUAGCACCAGAAGUGAUCAACACCAGAAGCUCGAUACCUGAUUUAUGUACGAAACGUUCUCGAACGGUUUCCAAGUACAAAAAGGCUAUCCAGGAAGAGAAGCAAACAAAGAAAAUGAUUUUCGCGAAACAUAUGCCGCGGUCGGUUACCGUGGCAAUGCUCGCUCGUACGUGUACGCGAAAGUUCUGUCGAAACGACGCCUUAGUCAUCGUCCUUUUCCGGAGGAUAUAGGUAUAUAUAUUCGAUAAUACUAAUCCGCGGCUCGUACCGGCGCUGCUUUUGCUUUCUUGCAGCGCAGUGACCUGAUUCCUUGCGUGCAACGGUAAGAGUGUUUCCAGAGACUGGCGGAGGGAGAUGGAAAGAGAGAGUUACUAGAACGAGAGGACGUAACAGAAGGACCGUAAGCGAGAAAGAGAAGAGAAUAAACGAGACGAGAGGGAACGAGCGCGCCUCGUGACACGUAAUACCCGUCACGGUAAUAGCGGAAAGUGAAACUCUCGGAAACCAGGUCACACCCACAUCGUGCUCGCAGCAGUGAACCGCGAUGCCGAUCUACGAGUCUCCCCGUUUAACUCUGGGCCGCAUACUUCUCUUUUCGUCCGAACACACAGCGAACACGACUGCGCGAAGCAGGAUAGAGAACCUUUUAAUCAGAGGAUACUUCAACUACUGGCACGACCACGUUUUCAUGUGUCCCGGAAUCGACUUCAUCCCUCAUCGUCCGUCUUCGGGACCUGAUAAAGAAUCAACUUACUGCGCAACGAUGACUUACAACGAGGCGCGAUACAAGGGAAGUGACUAAAUCCUUUGUUUCUUCGUAAAAUUGGAUUGAUGGAAUGUUAAAUAAAAUAUAGUAUUCGAA